AGUGAACGCUGGCGGCAGGCCUAACACAUGCAAGUCGAACGGCCGCACAGUAAGAGCUCGCUUUUACGGUUGGCGACUGACGGGCGAGUGAGGCAUACAUCGGAUUCUACUUUUUCGUGGGUGACUACGUAGGACCACUUACACUAAUACAGCAUACAUCCUACGGGAGAAAGCAAGAGAUAUUCAGACCUUUCGUGACUCUAUGAGAUGAAUCCGCGUCGCAUUAGCUAGUUGGUAAGGUAACGGCCUACCAAGGCGACGAUGCGUAGCCGAUCUGAGAGGAUGAUCAGCCACACUGGAACUGAGACACGGUCCAGACUCCUACGGGAGGCAGCAGUGGGGAAUAUUGGACAAUGGGCGCAAGCCUGAUCCAGCCAUACCGCGUGAGUGAAGAAGGUCUUCGGGUUGUAAAGCCCUUUUGUUGGGAAAGAAAAGCAGCAUGUGAAUACCCCGCUGUUCUGACGGUACCCAAAGAAUAAGCACCGGCUAACUUCGUG
rnacentral:rRNA from 1 species